AGGGCAAGUCUGGUGCCAGCAGCCGCGGUAAUUCCAGCUCCAAUAGCGUAUAUUAAAGUUGUUGCAGUUAAAAAGCUCGUAGUUGAAUUUCGGGGUCAGCAGGUUGGUCGUGCCAAUGGUAUGCACUGGCCUUGCUGAUUCCUCCCUCUUGAUGAGCCGUAAUGCCAUUAAUUUGGUGUUGUGGGGAAUCAGGACUGUUACUUUGAAAAAAUUAGAGUGUUUAAAGCAGGCAAGCGCUUGAAUACAUUAGCAUGGAAUAAUGAAAUAGGACGUUCGAUCCUAUUUUGUUGGUUUCUAGGAUUGACGUAAUGAUUAAUAGGGAUAGUUGGGGGCAUUAGUAUUCAAUUGUCAGAGGUGAAAUUCUUGGAUUUAUUGAAGACUAACUACUGCGAAAGCAUUUGCCAAGGAUGUUUUCAUUAGUCAAGAACGAAAGUUAGGGGAUCGAAGACGAUCAGAUACCGUCGUAGUCUUAACCAUAAACUAUGCCGACUAGGGACCGGAUGAUGUUAAUUUUUUAAUGACUCAUUCGGCGCCUUACGGGAA
rnacentral:rRNA from 1 species